rnacentral:rRNA from 1 species
CCUACGGGAGGCAGCAGUGGGGAAUAUUGGACAAUGGGUGAAAGCCUGAUCCAGCAAUGCCGCGUGAGUGAUGAAGGCCUUAGGGUUGUAAAGCUCUUUUACCAGGGAUGAUAAUGACAGUACCUGGAGAAUAAGCUCCGGCUAACUCCGUGCCAGCAGCCGCGGUAAUACGGAGGGAGCUAGCGUUAUUCGGAAUUACUGGGCGUAAAGCGUACGUAGGCGGUUAUUCAAGUCAGAGGUGAAAGCCCGGGGCUCAACCCCGGAACUGCCUUUGAAACUAGAUAACUAGAGUCUUGGAGAGGUUAGUGGAAUUCCGAGUGUAGAGGUGAAAUUCGUAGAUAUUCGGAAGAACACCAGUGGCGAAGGCGACUAACUGGACAAGUACUGACGCUGAGGUACGAAAGCGUGGGGAGCAAACAGGAUUAGAUACCCUGGUAGUCCACGCCGUAAACGAUGAUAACUAGCUGUCCGGGCACUUGGUGCCGUGGGUGGCGCGAGCUACGACAUUAAGUUAUCCGUCCGUCGGGUAGGUACGGUCGCGAGAGUUAAACGUUAAAGUAGUAAGUUAGACGGCGUGUAAGUACGUGUUCGAACGGACGACGACGAGGGAGGUUAGG